CCAAUUUCAAUUAUUCAAUAAUACAAUUGAUCGUACCACAAUUGUAAAAUUCCUAUUUUUCCAUGAAGCAAGCAACUUUUAUAAAGUGAUCCCAAAAGGAGUUCGCCAUGUGCAUGCAAUACCAAUGCCCAACAUUUACACUCCUUUGGCCAAACGAAUUCAUGGUUUCCAUAAUUUCAAUACAUCUAUAAAUAGGAAUAAUAAUGGUAACAGCAGGUCAAUAUGGGGAUGGAUGGUUAGCUGAUUUUGCCUUGCACAAAAACCAUGGAGAGAGAGAGAGAGAGGUACCUCCACAUCAACAUGGGGGUGGAGGUGAAGGCGUACACGGGUGGCCCCAAGGAUCCCAGCUCUGCUAUCCCAUUUCACAUGAUCAUGUAAGGUAAGUCACAAUUAAGAGAGAAGCUUUCUCAUAAAGCCUUGGAGAGAGAGAGAUGCAGAGUACCUAAAGUUGGUCAGGUAGGGGACGGUGCCCUCCACCAUGAGGCUUCGGUCUCACUCACUCCCCUUGUGACACGUGGGUACAAAACCUUCCAUGAGAGCACAGACAUUGCCGUGGGCAUGUGGUCCAGUAUGUUGGUUAGAGUUUGGGGAUUUUCGGCAACAUAUUAGCUACCAUUGUGUCGUAUUUGGGGUAGUUUCAUCAGUGUUUUCAAUUGUAGGUAGAUCCAUGGACCUGGAGUGGACAAUAAAGGUUGAAUUGAUAGUUCUUUUGUAGUAGUGGAAAGGAAAAUAAGAUAACGCUUUACGGAUUGCGAGGUAGCCCAUAUAUUUACUCAAAUCUUGUAAUUAUUCUAUGAUAAUAAAACAUUUUCUGUAAUCUGGUUUAGGGUGAAACAUUUGUACUUGUGUGCUUAAUGGUGAUUGGUUAUUUAUUUUAUUUUAUUUGGCUGUUCAUGGGUAUUUUAUUUGGC
rnacentral:lncRNA from 1 species